rnacentral:lncRNA from 1 species
GAGAUGUUGCAAGACACAGUGGCAGAUGGGAAGCUGGAUGUGUUUCAUUUGAUGUGCAUAAUUGAAGUCCCUAAAAGAAAGUGCUUGUUUUGACUUUUAUGCUUAUUGUUAACAUUAAUAGAUUUUGAGAUUUCAUAUUCUAAUAUGGAUUUCUGAUUUCCUUCAAAAAAAAAAAAAAAAGAACAGAAGAUCUGGCAAUCGGGUUUCAUGUGUGGAAGGACAAGCACCCUCUAGCUCCGACUAGGUGAGCGUUCUUCACCCAUGCUCCUUCACACUGCCAGCCUGGCUCUGAGGCUCUUGAAACCAAGUCCCUUUAAAAUAUGAUGCCCAGCAAGGAUCAUUCCUGGAAUGCACAAAGGUUAAGUAAAGCAGGUGAGUUGCUCAGAGAUGCAAAUUGUCUGCUUGUUGGAAGGGUGGGGGGGGGGGGCGGGCUGUAAAACUGCUUUCGUCUCCUCUUAUCCAAUGCAGCAUGUAGAUGCUAAAGAGAGCCUGAAGAGGGGGGCAGAGUGGCUGAGCUUGACCUAAACUUUUGGCUAGGAUUUAGAAUAGGGAGGUUUGCUUAAGAGCAACUGUCCUGACUGCCCUUUACUUACUAGAAGACUGUGCAUGUAAAGUGCUCAGCUUGCUGCCUGGCACAGACACAAUGACACUCAUGACACACUGACAGCCAGUGUCAUUGCUGUACCCAUCACUAACCCUUGACUUCCUGGCACAUAACCAGCAACCUUUCCUUUCUUUAGUCCUGACCCUCUAAUGGUCACCUCCCCUGCAUCUGCCUCCUAACCUCUUCCUAAUGCCUGGCUCACUCAUUUGCAGCCCUGUUAAACUAGCACUAGAUGUGCUAGUGUCGUGAUCCUGCUUCUCUUUCAUGAGUAGCAAUAAAGUCACUGAAGGGAAGCGAGCCUGCCCGCUGGCCUUCUGAAGAGGAAGUGGCAAGACAUCCCUCUCCACCAUGGUCAGGCUCUGUGUGGGAAGAGUCAUCUCAGCCCAGAGCUGAUGGUGUUGGAGAAGUAAGGAGGACAAAGAUGCCCGCAGCAUGGGAAGAGUAGGGACAUUGGUGCCAGCUGGAAAGCCACCACUUGCUCUCUGUCCUGAGACAGAAGGGGCUGAGCAGGAGAGUGCCUGCUGGAAUUCUCCUCCUGGAGACAGCUCUGGUGAGAGGCCUGCUCCCAAGUUCUACUUCUAACUAGGAACUGAAUUGACAGGCUCUUGCCACAUUUGUGAGCAAGUGAAGAGAUGGGGCCUGCUCUGAGGUUAUCAAAAGGCCAAUGUACCAUAAAUGCAGCUGGUUAUUCUCCCUGGUGGUAGAAAACCAACAGCAUCACCAACCAUAAGUGUGACCUUCCUCCUCUACUUCUCUGUUGGGUUUCUCUUCUUGCUUGUUUUCUUUGCACAGUAGGCAGUUCAGGAGGCUAAGCCCCAAACAAAUGCUUCCUUCCUUUCUGAGGUGUCACAGCUCUGUGAGCCCAGAUGUACAGCCUGUAUCUUUUUCCCUCCCAACCCCAGCCCAUCUGUUCCACAAAGAUGAACCCUAAAGCCCCUUUAGGUAGUGGGGGCCUAGCCCCAAGUGCCAGAGAGAAAAUUGCCACUUUUUCUCUUUCCUCCUACCAUGUGAUUGGCUUUGAGCAAAAGCUAAUUCUAGGCAGCCUCUGUCAACUUCCUGAGGUUGAUGUCUACCAUGAUCCUUUUGGGAAUGUAUGCUUCCCUGUUACUGGUGGGGAGAGAAUCUGGGGAGUCCUGAAGGCUGAAACAGGGGCAGAAUCUGAGAAAUGUUGGGCUACGAGGAUGCUGCGCCUUCUUCAUCACUGUCUCAUCCUGGGGACACAAUUGCUACCACCAUGAUGGUGUCCUACUUGGGAUGGGGGUACAGGGAAGGUACUUCGCUGUUGUGUGCACUGAUGCGUCAUGAUGGGACUCUUCCCUCUUACUUGUUAUUCAGGACCCAGGGUUGUGCCAGCCCAACACACAUGGGUGCUCUGCUUUACCCACCCCCUUGUGGAGAUGAUAGUAUAGCUAAAACACUCUGUGCAUUUACUUUGUUUGACCAGGCAUUUUAGUAUCUUUACUAACUCAUUUGCUGCUCAUAAUAAAGUAGGCAAUAUGUUUCCUUCAUCUUUCAAAUGAAAAAGCAGGCUUAGAAAGGUUAGGUGAGUUGCCCAAGGUCCCCCAAACAAUAAGUAGUAGAGCUGAAAUUUGAACGCAGAAAACGAAACUCCAAAGCCCCCCACUCCUAUUGCCAUUUCCACAUCCUCUCAUAAAACUGAGGGCCUGAGGAAGGCCAGAGGUCUAUACAAGGAUUUCCUUGGGGCCUAACCACGAGCAAGCCCUCUCUAGGGAAGAGAACUGGAGGCAGCUCUCUGGUCCCCUCAGUUCUAGGCUGGUGGGGAAUAUGUUGAUUUCAAUGAGAAUCUGGCAUCUGGCACUUAUAACACUAAGGCAUAGCUGAAUGCAGCAGUGCACACCUGGACUCCAGCUACUCAGGAGGCUAAGGCAGGAGGAUCCCAAGUUCAAGGCCCGCCUGGGCAACUUAGCAAGACCCUGGCUCAAAAUAGAAAUAAAAAUAAGAGGCGAGUAGUUAAGCACUUUCCUAGCAUAUGUGAGGCCCUGGGUUCAAUCCCCAGCUCUACCAAAAAAAACAGAACAAACACACACACACACACACACACACACACAGAGGCAUCUGUCUGAGUUUUCAGAUCAGAAAGAAAAUCCUUUUGGCAAACUCCUCAAGAGAGCUAGCCUCUAACCAGCUCCUGGGGCUCAUGAUCUGGUAGAGACAGUGAACUCUUGUCUUCACCCUGUGUCUCCCCUGCCCCCCACCACCCCCACUUUUUACUCUGGAAAGGCCUUCUCCUGGGCCUUGACUAAAGAGUCCCCACCCUGAAAAAGACCAACCACUGAGCUACAGAUCAAAGAACAUCCAUCACUUUCCUGACCCAGGGCAGCCUCAGUUGGCACUACCUGAGCCACUCUGCCCCCAGAAAACCCCCAGGCCAGCUGAGAUGAGUACCACCUGGCAGACUCCGGCCUGCAGCUCAUGGGCCUGUAUAACCACCGCUCUAACUGCACCAAACCUUUGAUCUAAAACUGGAUUGUGCUUAUGCACUCAGACUACACAUACCAAUUCUCAUCAGAAGCUUUUUUCUUCUGGCAGAGUAUGAGCCGAAAACACAGUGCUUUUUUAAACUCAGUUUUUGUCACCCUCUUCAAAAAUCUGAGACCUGAACUCUUAUUCCCACCCAGUCAAACCUUUAACCUCCGCUUCCUCUGUUCUUCAGCCUUCCUUCACAGGAAAACUGCUGACAAACUGCCCCGCCCCGUGCACUCUCUUAUAAACAUGGGUUUGCUUUUACUGUUUACAAAAGUAAAAUAUGUCCAGUGUGGCUUGAGAUGCCUUACGAAGACAGAACUGGCCCACUGUACCCAUGGACGAGAGAAGGGCAAGAGUCGGGAUGGAGGCAGAGGUUUUUAGUCUGCAGUUGUGGAUUGAGAGAAGACUGAUGGAAGGAAAUUUCCAGUAGGAAACUCACAAUUCCACUUCCUGGAAAAGGGUAUCCUAUCAGAGAAAAUCUGAGAGUUCCCCAACCCUCCUAAAUGGGGGGUGAGGGGCAGUUGAGGGACACUUUGAUCCCCUGUGUUUGCACCCUCUUUUGCUGCUGUGGAUCAACAAAGGUCAGAAGCAGCUUCCAUCAAACCAGAAGACCCUGGGGCAGCAGGGGAGACAGAGGCCCCCGGAAGGGGUGUGUGCGCCUGAGCCAAGGAGUAACUAGAAUUUGGGAGAACUGGCCCCUGGAGGAGCCAUUUUACCAAACACAGAGUAGAAACCACACAGAUCAAAGUUGCCCGAUUAGGGCUGCUCCUGGCCCAGGAGCAGGCUGCGGUACCAGUCAAGUAAUGGGUGUUAAAGUUUCCUCUUGCUAAGGAAAUACCUCAAGUACAGGAAUCUUGCUAAUGACAAAAAAAUGUCAGACACAGGUAAAGUGGUAGGGGAGCCUUUGGGGGCAGUGGGAAACUUCUAGAGCCUUGCAAGUCAGACUUCAAAGUUCCCUCCUGUAUGUAGGGGAUUUUGAGAAACCAGUGCAAAUGAUGCGAGUUUUACUGCACUGUACUUAGAGGUGAGACAGGCCCCAUUUGUUUAUUUCUCCAAAAAGAUCACUUUGGGCACUUGGUGGGGGGAAUAGUCAGUCUUGUUUAUGAUUCAGAUGUCUUGUCAUUUCAACAUCGUCUUACACAUACUUGUACACGCACAAGGAUUCUGCAGAAGUCCUGAGACCUCAGGGCACAAGCAGGCCAGGCAGGAGCUACAAUAGUCCAAGAGGUCAAUCCUCUUGUCUCUCACAUGUUGUCACCCCAGAGGCUCAGGGUGACUCUCAGAGAGAGGUGGGGGAGAAAGAGAUAGAAAAAAACAGAAAGAGAGAAAGAGAGAAAGAGAAAAGAAGGAAAGAAGGAAGGAAGGGCGGAAGGGAGGGAGGGAGGAGGAAGGAGGAAAGGAGGAGGAGGGAGGGGGAGGGGGGAGAGAGAAUUACAGGCCAUAGAGCAGCUGCCUGAGGCCAUUUUCUCCACACAGAGUGCCAAAUAUAUUUCCCAGACAUGCUUGAAAAUCUCUCUCCUCAAGGACCCAGCUCCCUAUGAUGGGCUUAUGUUUCCAAGUUCUGGGGGAAAUUUUCUACUGCAUCCUCCACUUUGGGCCCUACCACACAAAAACAAACUCAAAGCACAGGCCAAAGAAGUCUAAAAACCUCAUUACCUUUUGGGAGUAGGGAUGGGAGAGGAAAAUAAGUCAGAGCAAAACCUCUAUUGCUUUCUGGAUAAGUUACCAUUACCAUGCUGACUGAAGCCCUCAAUGUCUAGUCGGGAUGCUGAACAUUUCAGAAAGAGGGUUGUCCUCCCCUCUUUUUGUAGGUGAAAGCCAUGGAGAAAGAAGCAUGAAGUGCAGAAAGAGGAGACAUACAUUAAUGCAAUCCACUGACAUGCGAGCCACCGGCUGUCAAAGUCCCAGAAAUAUCUCAGAGAAUCAGACAGCCUCCUGCAAAUGGUACAGAGGAUGACAUGGAAGAGGACAGGCACAGUAUUCAGGCCUCCUCAGCCUAUGGAGCUACUUUCCCCAGAGAGAGAUAAUUGGUGUGGGCCCACUACGCUGCAGAUAUUCACAAUGGUCACACAUGUGGAGGAAGGAGAGCAGGGGAGACCAACUUGGUGGCCUUAAGAGCUCUCUUUCUAUACAGGUCCUUGGGUACUGUCUUCUUAUAAAAUGCUACUUCCUACGUUUUUUCAGACAUCCCUCCUAAACCUAAUUGCUCCCAUACUGCCUCUGAUCUCGCCUCCAGACUGCUGGCAUCCACUUCCAAUUCUUGGCUCAACCCCAUGAGCUUGAUGUUUAGGCUCAUCUUGGCUUUCCAAGCUCCCCCAAGCAGGAUUCGAAUCAUGGUUCUCUCUUCUCACACUGAAGCCCCAGGUUCUUCCUGCUAACUCCCAUUCUCUGGCUGGCUGCUAAGAGCACAGCCUGAGACAAAUGCAUGCUAUUGCCUCUAAAGUCAAGGCCAGGCAGGUGUCCUUGUGCCAAGCUUCUGUCCAUGCUUGACAUGACAGCUCUGGCUUGCUGGGUCUUUCUGUGGCUGGGCUUCAUAUUGCUCUUUUCCAGGGAUUUGGGCAAUUAUUCUCUACCAAUUACAAAUUACUCCUUGCUCCAUUGAGGGGAAGAGAAGAGACCUUUUCAGUGCUGGGUCCCUCAGUCCCAAGAUACUGGCCCGCUGCCAAUGGUACCAUCUACCCCUAAGGUUAACAGCACCCUCUGGUGGCCAUGAUGUAACUGCAACUGAGGACAUUAUUAAAUUUAUUUUUGUAGUUUUAUAUAUUCUACUUAUUCUAGUAAUUUUGAGUAAAUCUAUAAAGGUGG